GACGAACGCUGGCGGCGUGCCUAAUACAUGCAAGUAGAACGCACAGUUUAUACCGUAGCUUGCUACACCAUAAACUGUGAGUUGCGAACGGGUGAGUAACGCGUAGGUAACCUGCCUGGUAGCGGGGGAUAACUAUUGGAAACGAUAGCUAAUACCGCAUAAUAUUGAUUAUUGCAUGAUAAUUGAUUGAAAGAUGCUAUUGCAUCACUACCAGAUGGACCUGCGUUGUAUUAGCUAGUAGGUGAGGUAACGGCUCACCUAGGCGACGAUACAUAGCCGACCUGAGAGGGUGAUCGGCCACACUGGGACUGAGACACGGCCCAGACUCCUACGGGAGGCAGCAGUAGGGAAUCUUCGGCAAUGGACGAAAGUCUGACCGAGCAACGCCGCGUGAGUGAAGAAGGUUUUCGGAUCGUAAAGCUCUGUUGUAAGAGAAGAACGGGUGUGAGAGUGGAAAGUUCAUACUGUGACGGUAGCUUACCAGAAAGGGACGGCUAACUACGUG
rnacentral:rRNA from 1 species